CUGAGAAGGAGCAAGGCCAGUAGAAGAGGGGCAGGGAGAACGGGCAAAUUUCCCUGUGGGGAGCGGAUCUGGGGACUCGAGGGUUUCCCGGCAGGCGCUCCGCAGGCCGGUCUCCCACGCUUAAGCGCGGCAUGAAGAGAAUCUACUGACCACAUUGUGCUUCCUAUAGCAAUGCAUCCUGUAACCUUUGAGACAGAAGGACAUUGUACUAUAGAAUAUUCUGCCACUGAUACAAUUCAUGACAAUAAUAUUGUGAAGACUCCCAAGCUAGGCUAGUGCAGAGGCCACUCCCUGGGGGAGGAGUGAAGAACUCAGCCGAAAUCCAAGAUCAAAACCUCCAUGACAUGGCUCCAAUCAAGCUAUCCCAGCGAAGGCCCCCACAUCAUGGAGCAGAGAUAAGAAUCCCAGAUUCCUGACCCACACUAUUGUGAGCAAGUGAGAUGGUGGCUGUUUUAAGCCGUUAGAUAUGGGGCCAGUAUGCUGUGUAGUGACAGAAACUGAGACAAGCACUGUAUAUCACACAGGUUGCUAAAUAAACAUGUCCCAAAUGUUACUAUUCAGCAGUAAUAUUGUCUCCAGGUUGUUCAAAAGAUGCAGCCUCAACUGUUUACUUUCUUCUUCCACUUUUUUUUUUUAACCUAAUUCUCACAUCCUCGUUUUCUGUGUUAGAAACUACAGCCCACACCUCCUCUGCCCUGGUGGCCCCUGCUUUGCUCUUUGUGGAGCUGUGAGAAGAAGAGGGGGUGGGGCCACGCUGUCAGGCUGCAGUCUAAUACG